rnacentral:rRNA from 1 species
GAUGAACGCUGGCGGCGUGCCUAAUACAUGCAAGUCGAGCGAACAGACGAGGAGCUUGCUCCUCUGACGUUAGCGGCGGACGGGUGAGUAACACGUGGAUAACCUACCUAUAAGACUGGGAUAACUACGGGAAACCGGAGCUAAUACCGGAUAAUAUAUUGAACCGCAUGGUUCAAUAGUGAAAGACGGUUUUGCUGUCACUUAUAGAUGGAUCCGCGCCGCAUUAGCUAGUUGGUAAGGUAACGGCUUACCAAGGCAACGAUGCGUAGCCGACCUGAGAGGGUGAUCGGCCACACUGGAACAGAGACACGGUCCAGACUCCUACGGGAGGCAGCAGUAGGGAAUCUUCCGCAAUGGGCGAAAGCCUGACGGAGCAACGCCGCGUGAGUGAUGAAGGUCUUCGGAUCGUAAAACUCUGUUAUUAGGGAAGAACAAAUGUGUAAGUAACUAUGCACGUCUUGACGGUACCUAAUCAGAAAGCCACGGCUAACUACGUG